rnacentral:rRNA from 1 species
AUUGAACGCUGGCGGCAGGCCUAACACAUGCAAGUCGAGCGGAGCGGCGGACGGGUGAGUAAUGUCUGGGCGACUGCCUGAUGGAGGGGGAUAACGUCAGGAAACGGGCGCUAAUACCGCAUACUCUAAGAUGAGACUAGGUCGGAUUAGCUAGUUGGUGGGGUAAAGGCCUACACAGGCGACGAUCCGUAACUGGUCUGAGAGGAUGAUCAGUCACACUGGAACUGAGACACGGUCCAUACUCCUACGUGAGGCAGCAGUGGGGAAUAUUGGACAAUGGGCGAAAGCCUGAUCCAGCCAUGCCGCGUGUGUGAAGAAGGUCUUCGGAUUGUAAAGCACUUUUAGUUGGGAGGCGUUACCAACAGAAUAAGCACCGGCUAACUUCGUGCCAGCAGCCGCGGUAAUUC